rnacentral:misc_RNA from 1 species
GAUGAAGAACGUAGCGAAAUGCGAUAAGUAAUGUGAAUUGCAGAAUUCAGUGAAUCAUCGAAUCUUUGAACGCACAUUGCGCCCGCCAGUAUUCUGGCGGGCAUGCCUGUUCGAGCGUCAUUUCAACCAUCAAGCCCCCGGCUUGUGUUGGGGACCUGCGGCUGCCGCAGGCCCUGAAAACCAGUGGCGGGCUCGCUAGUCACUCCGAGCGUAGUAAUACAUCUCGCUCAGGGCGUGCUGCGGGUUCCGGCCGUUAAAAGCCUUAUUUUACCCAAGGUUGACCUCGGAUCAGGUAGGAAGACCCGCUGAACUUAAGCAUAUCAAUAAGCGGAGGAA